CUUAGUCAUGCCUGGUAGGCAAAUCCGCCGGGCUUAGAUGAGGGGUGAUAACGAGGCGGCUUGCCGCCGAAGUGAGUGAUACCCUGCUUCCAGGAAAAGCCACUAAGCUUCAGCUGCACACGACCGUACCGCAAACCGACACUGGUGCGCGAGAUGAGUAUUCUAAGGCGCUUGAGAGAACUCUGGAGAAGGAACUCGGCAAAUUGACACCGUAACUUCGGAAGAAGGUGUGCCUUUAGUAGGUGAUCCAUUUACUUGGUGAGCCCAAUGAGGCCGCAGAGAAUCGGUGGCUGCAACUGUUUAAUAAAAACACAGCACUCUGCAAAGACGAAAGUCGACGUAUAGGGUGUGACGCCUGCCCGGUGCUGGAAGAUUAAAUGAUGGGGUGCAAGCUCUUGAUUGAAGUCCCAGUAAACGGCGGCCGUAACUAUAACGGUCCUAAGGUAGCGAAAUUCCUUGUCGGGUAAGUUCCGACCUGCACGAAUGGCGUAAUGAUGGCCACACUGUCUCCUCCAGAGACUCAGCGAAGUUGAAAUGUUUGUGAUGAUGCAAUCUCCCCGCGGAAAGACGGAAAGACCCCAUGAACCUUUACUGUAGCUUUACAUUGGACUUGAACAGAUCUGUGUAGGAUAGGUGGGAGGCUUUGAAGCGGUGCCGCUAGGUGUCGUGGAGCCAACGUUGAAAUACCACCCUGGUGUGUUUGAGGUUCUAACCUUGGCCCGUUAUCCGGGUUGGGGACAGUGUAUGGUAGGCAGUUUGACUGGGGCGGUCUCCUCCCAAAGUGUAACGGAGGAGUUCGAAGGUACGCUAAAUACGGUCGGAAAUCGUGUUUAUAGUGCAUUGGCAUAAGCGUGCUUGACUGCGAGACUGACAAGUCGAGCAGGUACGAAAGUAGGACAAAGUGAUCCGGUGGUUCUUUAUGGAAGGGCCAUCGCUCAACGGAUAAAAGGUACUCUGGGGAUAACAGGCUGAUACCGCCCAAGAGUUCAUAUCGACGGCGGUGUUUGGCACCUCGAUGUCGGCUCAUCUCAUCCUGGGGCUGUAGCCGGUCCCAAGGGUAUGGCUGUUCGCCAUUUAAAGAGGUACGUGAGCUGGGUUUAAAACGUCGUGAGACAGUUUGGUCCCUAUCUUCCGUGGGCGCUGCAAGAUUGAGAGAGCCUGCUCCUAGUACGAGAGGACCGGAGUGGACGCACCUCUGGUGUAUCGGUUGUCACGCCAGUGGCAUUGCCGAGUAGCUAAGUGCGGAAGAGAUAACCGCUGAAAGCAUCUAAGCGGGAAACUCGUCUCAAGAUGAGUCUUGCCGGGGCCUUGAGCCCCCUGAAGGGUCGUUCGAGACCAGGACGUUGAUAGGCUGGGUGUGGAAGCGCAGUAAUGCGUUAAGCUAACCAGUACUAAUUGCCCGUGAGGCUUGACCUU
rnacentral:rRNA from 1 species